GGGGUGGGAGGCGUGGCCGGCUGCGGGGAGGGGCGGGAGGCGGGAGCGUCGCGGAGCGCAGGCCUCGGAGGCCCCCGAGUUACCGCCAGCCGUAGACAGAGCUGGCCUGCGCCCCAGUCUUAGUUUUUCUCCCGGUGCCCCCUCCUCAGCCCUGGGCGCACCGCGCCGGGCCGAGCGGCUGGCUGCCUAGCGAGCCGGCCGCCCGACCCCGACUGGCGAAGCGACCCGGAGCCGUCCGGCCCAGGCGCACACGGAAGUGGUGAGUGUCACCGAGAGGUGGUGAGAAGCCUGCCGCAGUCUC
rnacentral:lncRNA from 1 species